AUUGAACGCUGGCGGCAUGCCUUACACAUGCAAGUCGAACGGUAACAGGUCUUCGGAUGCUGACGAGUGGCGAACGGGUGAGUAAUACAUCGGAACGUGCCCGAGAGUGGGGGAUAACGAAGCGAAAGCUUUGCUAAUACCGCAUACGAUCUCAGGAUGAAAGCAGGGGACCGCAAGGCCUUGCGCUCACGGAGCGGCCGAUGGCAGAUUAGGUAGUUGGUGGGAUAAAAGCUUACCAAGCCGACGAUCUGUAGCUGGUCUGAGAGGACGACCAGCCACACUGGGACUGAGACACGGCCCAGACGCCUACGGGAGGCAGCAGUGGGGAAUUUUGGACAAUGGGCGCAAGCCUGAUCCAGCCAUGCCGCGUGCAGGAUGAAGGCCUUCGGGUUGUAAACUGCUUUUGUACGGAACGAAAAGACUCUGGUUAAUACCUGGGGUCCAUGACGGUACCGUAAGAACAAGCACCGGCUAACUACGUGCCAGCAGCCGCCGUAA
rnacentral:rRNA from 1 species